rnacentral:rRNA from 1 species
UGGGGAAUAUUGGACAAUGGGCGGAAGCCUGAUCCAGCAACGCCGCGUGAGGGAUGACGGCCUUCGGGUUGUAAACCUCUUUCAGUAGGGACGAAGCGCAAGUGACGGUACCUACAGAAGAAGCACCGGCCAACUACGUGCCAGCAGCCGCGGUAAUACGUAGGGUGCGAGCGUUGUCCGGAAUUAUUGGGCGUAAAGGGCUCGUAGGCGGUUUGUCGCGUCGGGAGUGAAAACACCGGGCUUAACUCGGUGCUUGCUUUCGAUACGGGCAGACUAGAGGUAUGCAGGGGAGAACGGAAUUCCUGGUGUAGCGGUGAAAUGCGCAGAUAUCAGGAGGAACACCGGUGGCGAAGGCGGUUCUCUGGGCAUUACCUGACGCUGAGGAGCGAAAGUGUGGGGAGCGAACAGGAUUAGAUACCCUGGUAGUCCACACCGUAAACGUUGGGCGCUAGGUGUGGGGCCUAUUCCAUGGGUUCCGUGCCGCAGCUAACGCAUUAAGCGCCCCGCCUGGGGAGUACGGCCGCAAGGCUAAAACCCAAAGGAAUUGACGGGGGCCCGCACAAGCGGCGGAGCAUGCGGAUUA